rnacentral:rRNA from 1 species
AUACGGAGGAUCCGAGCGUUAUCCGGAUUUAUUGGGUUUAAAGGGAGCGGAGGCGGACGCUUAAGUCAGUUGUGAAAGUUUGCGGCUCAACCGUAAAAUUGCAGUUGAUACUGGCUGUCUUGAGUACAGUAGAGGUGGGCGGAAUUCGUGGGGGAGCGGUGAAAUGCUUAGAUAUCACGAAGAACUCCGAUUGCGAAGGCAGCUCACUGGACUGCAACUGACACUGAUGCUCGAAAGUGUGGGUAUCAAACAGGAUUAGAUACCCUGGUAGUCCACACAGUAAACGAUGAAUACUCGCUGUUUGCGAUAUACAGUAAGCGGCCAAGCGAAAGCAUUAAGUAUUCCACCUGGGGAGUACGCCGGCAACGGUGAAACUCAAAGGAAUUGACGGGG